rnacentral:rRNA from 1 species
GACGAACGCUGGCGGCGUGCUUAACACAUGCCAGUCGAACGGAAAAGCCCUGCUUUCGUGGGGUGCUAGAGUGGCGAACGGGUGAGUAACAUGUGAGUAACCUGCCCUUGACGUUGGGAUAACUUCAGGAAACUGGGGCUAAUACCGGAUAGGAGCUCCUGCUGCAUGGUGGGGGUUGGAAAGUUCCGGCGGUUGGGGAUGGACUCGGGGAUGAUCAGCUUGUUGGUGGGGUAGUGGCUUACCAAGGCUUUGAAGGGUAGCCGGCCUGGGAGGGUGACCGGCAACAUGAGGACUGAGAUACGGCGCAGAGUCCUACGGGGGACAGCAGUGGGGAAUAUUGCACAAUGGGCGGGAGCCUGAUGCAGCAACCCCGCGUGCGGAAAGAAGGCCUUGGUGUUGUGAACCGCUUUCAGCUGUGACGAAGCGUGAGUGACUUUAAUGGGUAAAGAAGCACCGGCUAACUACGUG